UACGUAGGGUGCAAGCGUUAAUCGGAAUUACUGGGCGUAAAGCGUGCGCAGGUGGCCGCGCAUGUCGAGUGUGAAAUCCCCGGGCUUAACUUGGGAAUUGCGCUCGAAACUACGUGGCUGGAGUGUGGCAGAGGAAGGUGGAAUUCCAGGUGUAGCGGUGAAAUGCGUAGAGAUCUGGAGGAACACCGAUGGCGAAGGCAGCCUUCUGGGCCAACACUGACACUCAUGCACGAAAGCGUGGGGAGCAAACAGG
rnacentral:rRNA from 1 species